UUAAGUACCUUUAUGCCUUUAAUUCGAGGUAGACUCAUUUAAAAAAAAAUGUUAACGUAUUUUAGACAUCUUCUAUACAUUAGCCUAGCGUUUUUCAAAAUCGGAGUUGGCAACACUGACGCCGAAGUGAUUUGUCAACGCGUCUUGUGUUAAUUUUUUUGCGGUUAUCUAUCACAUCACAGAUCUAACAACUUACAAGUUCGAUGGAGUAAGUGAUCGAAUCUUUAAAAACAUGGGAGUUGGAGAACUUAAUACGAAAAUUCACCACCCCGGAAUCGGACGCUAAUAAAACCAUGUUCCGAUGGUAAUAGGCGACGCCCAGCGUGCCCGGGUGUUGAAAUAAGUGCAAAACUGCUCUCCGCUCGCCUUUUGUCCACCAACGGGUUCACGCCGCGUCGCCUAAUCCUCGCGCCGGUCGCCAGCAUUCCCCGCUGUGUUCCGGUAACCUACAGGCGGCAAGCUGACGCUGCCGUCAUCCACACGACACCAUCUCUGAGGCGGCUGACGUGGCAGUCGUGGUGGUCUGAGGCGGCUGACGUAGCACGUUUGAGACCCUGAUGGAUUUUUCUGAGUUUAACAUAAGCACAGACCUAAUAGUUGUAGAAACUUCAGAAAAGGAAAACUUGUCCUCGGAAAAGGAAAAUGUGCCAUCUGCAAUUGCUGAGAAGAAAGCAGAGCCCAGUUAUAAUUCCAGGAUUGUGGAAAAGUCAUUGGACUCUGCAUCACUAUUUUGAAAAUAUUCUGCUCUCAAAAAACCACAAGGAUAUUCUUUGCGGCUUAACGACUUCAAAAGCACAUGAAAUUUACUAGGACAAUUUGUUUAUAAAUUUUCCAUCAAUGAAAAUAAAUCUUCAGGAACAGCUGAAAUACAAAAAGUCGAACUUACUGCACUUACCAAUUCGCCCUAUGAGGAAACAACGAAUAUAGCCGGAUUUCUCACCAUUCCAUUUUUGCUGAACACUGCGGCAGUCCGCCAAAAGAAGAAGCGAGGUUCCGGUGCAAGUCAAAAUUGGAAGCCCAGUAAAAUGGAAGUAAGGGAAGGUUUCAUAAAGCAUAUCCGCUCUAGUGUAGAAAUUAGCCAGACCAUCGAACUUCGCAUAGCCACACUUCAAAAAAUAGGAUUGUCAUGCCAGCCAUACAUAAUUGUUAUGGGUGAGUCUCUUGAAAAAAUCGAAUCAUUUCUAGUUGUUGUCAGCAGAUCGAUAAUCUAUGAAAGACAGUCCAUUAUGAACGCAGUAGAUACGUGCUACAAAAUAUAUAAUACAAUGAAAAUAUAAUACAUUGUACUUACUGGUGAACUCUGGUAUUAAGACGAUACAGGAGUGAUCUAUUCUCCAUACAAACGCUCUCGACUAUUUCCUCCCUGGUUUUUCAAGAUACAGCAAUGAUUUUUUCAAGACAGAUU
rnacentral:lncRNA from 1 species